rnacentral:lncRNA from 1 species
CGACAAUGACAAUCGACAGGGAGCAGUUCGACCUGCUGGUUCAGUAGGUCAGGGGCCUCACCAAAGUGAUGCAGGCCUGCAGCAGCAGCAGCAGUCGCAGGCAUCUGUGCGGCUGGAAAGAGCAUCGUCGAAGUUUCAAAAUCCGAUGAUCGGGCGGCCCACUUGGGCCAGUCACCCUGUAUCCCCCGGAAAGGAGAAGCAGAAGGCGGAGAGCCCUUUGUCUG